CCACGGUCAAGGGAAGAAGGAUGGAAGAAUUUUGAUUCAGGGCAUGUGGUGGUACCAAAAACGCACCACCACAUGCAAAAUAUUAUUUUACCCACCAAAAAAGUAUCACCACAUGCCCCGAAUCACGUUCUUCCAUCCUCUUCCUUGUUGGUGGCCUCUUAUCACCUUCAUAAGUGGGUUAGUCCCGCACACUAACUCCAUGGGAACCGGGACUUUUUGACGAAGAGCUCGGUUGAACCGCAAAGAGGAGGAAGAUUUGUGACAGCGCACAAGGAAGGACACGGCUGCUCGUUACACGACAGUUCGUGUGGGUAGACCGUGCUUGUCGGCAGUGUGGCGAACCGAACCGCAGCCUCUUCUACAGUUGUUUUUUUGACGGAGAAUGUAUCAUACUCACCUCUACUCAAUGAACCUACCUUGAGCUCAUUAUUUUGUUGUGGUUUUCGGCGUCAAAGCGACAGAGAUGGAAAGCAAGUUAGCCAGCACUACUCCAUCUUCCUCUUCAUUUGAUAUGCAGCUACUGACAUAACCAGUGCAGCGGAAGAUGGACAUCCAGAGUGGCAUACAAAAGGCAGUGGAGCCCCUCCCUACCUCUCUCCCCUCCUCCCCUCAACAGUCGGGUGCCCAUCAGCAGAGCGAGCCGGAGGACAGCCAGGCAGAGCAGAGCGCCAGGCCCACCGCUGACAACCACAGCAAGGACACCCAGCCAGCCGCCGGCCACCGAGACGACAAAAAAUAUUUCAGUGUGGAGUCGAUUGAUGGGACUAUGUUUCAUGAAGCCAUUAGAAGACUGUUGCUGACUGAGAGGAGGGUGAAGAGAGGUUGUCGAAAAUAUACUGGCCAAAACAAGAUCACUCUGUUCCCAUACCUUAGUAACCCCCACUCCCUGUCUCUCACGGAACGGGGGAACGAGAGAGGGUGAGAUGGAGAGAAAAUGGGGGAGUAAGAGAGAGAGAGAGAGAGAGAGAGAGAGGUGGGGAGGAAGAGAGAGGUGGAUAGAACAGUGUGUUCUGUGAAUUCAGCCUGACACCCUGUAUACUGUGAAUGUGCUGCUCCCUGCCAUACCAGAAUUAGAUAAGCGGAGAAUUGAAUGUAGAGAUUUUCAAUCACAAUGGACAAGCAGUCCAGUGACUGAAUGUAAUGGGUGUCACGUUCUGACCUUAGUUAUUUUUGUUAUGUCUUUGUUUUAGUAUGGUCAGGGCGUGAGUUGGGUGGGUUGUCUAUGUUCCUUUUUCUAUGAUUUAGGAUUUCUGUGUUUGGCCUGGUAUGGUUCUCAAUCAGAGGCAGCUGUCAUUCGUUGUCCCUGAUUGAGAACCAUACUUAGGUAGCCUGGUUUCACUUUUGAGUGGUGGGUGAUUGUUUCCUGUGUCUGUACAAUACGGGACUGUUUCGAUUUUCGUUUGUUCAUUCAAGUUGUUAUUUUGUAUUUUUGUAGUGUUCAGUUUUAUAUAUUAAAAUGGAUACUUACCACGCUG
ensembl:lncRNA